rfam:Paenibacillus ferrarius strain CY1 CY1_scaffold11, whole genome shotgun sequence.
AAUAUGGUUUUUCUUAAAACCAUUCUCAAAAUCAUUGGCGUAGCGU